GACGAACCGUGCGAACGUUGUUCGGAAUCACUGGGCUUAAAGGGCGCGUAGGCGGGCUAUCAAGUCCGGGGUGAAAUCCUCCAGCUUAACUGGAGAACUGCCUCGGAUACUGAUGGUCUCGAGGAGGAUAGGGGCACACGGAACUGUGGGUGGAGCGGUGAAAUUCGUAGAUAUCGGGAGGAACACCAGUGGCGAAGGCGGCGACCUGGGCCAAUAUUGACGCUGAGGUGCGAAAGCGUGGGGAGCAAACAGG
rnacentral:rRNA from 1 species